rnacentral:lncRNA from 1 species
CCCCUUUGUAUCAUCAAAGCCUCAGUCCAAACAGCAUCUCCUGAUUGUACCAACUUUUUAAUCUAGAGCUAUGCUUCUUGAGGGCAAGUCUGUAUUUGAUUCAUCUUUCUACUCACAAGCCUUGCACAGUCCGAGGCACCAGGUACGCCCUCCAUAAAAAUUGCCUUCAAUAGAUGAGUGGCAGCUCUGUGAGAUGAGUCACUGCUGGUUUCCUUGCUUGGAUUAGGUCAGCCCUGCAGCCCAGCUGGAGCUCUUCAAUUACUCAAGGCAUGUGCCCAGGCGUGAGAAAUUCUGGCUCCCUGCUCAGCGUAGAUAACACCAUCGCUUAAGCUGCCUCUUUCCAAUUCGUUCCUCCCAAGUCUGUCUUCAAGAUAGAGGACACCAGAUCCUCAUCCUGGGCGCAUCAAUUCUAAACCAGGCUUGCUACCUUCCUCUGAAAAAACCAUGAUGCAGAAGAGCAUGGUGACCAUGAAAGUGAGGUGUUGAAAACUGAGGAGCCACAAGAUGGAAGGGGCCAGGGUCCCUGAAUGACUGCAUGGAAAAGAGUCACCUGCUGAUCAGGGUGUAUUUGCAUUCCUCGUGUCUAACAUGAAUUGAAUGAGCAAGUGAAUUUGUCAAGAGAAGGAUAUGAGACUGAUCCUAUCUCAAGUCAGAGGCAGAGCACAGAAAGCAGCAUUUGCAAAGUUUGGCCUAUUUCUCAUCUAGACAAGUGUCAUGAGUCACCACACCCGAGGAUGGAAUAUGGUCUGGAAAGAUCCCUGGCCGAGGAAGCAGGAGACGUGGACUCAGAGCCCACUCAGUCCCCAGUUCACUGCACACUCUGGCACGUCACCUUAUCUCUCCCAGACUCAAAUCUUUUAAUUGUGAAACAUAGGAUUUGUGCUAAAUAAUAUUGAAAGACCGUUUU